rnacentral:lncRNA from 1 species
AUUGUGGUGGUGGCAGUAAAAUGGGCAAUAUCAAACAGAACUAUCUGGAAGCAUUUAUUUCCAAUCCAAAAUGAAGCUUUAUCUAGUGCUUGUCACAAAUCUACAUAUUCUUCUCUUCCAGCUGACUACAAUCACAAGGUAUACCUCACUUUGACAUCUGAUGACAGGACAGUAGUGUGCUACCACACUUCUGUGGACAUUUCCUACAAACAUACUAAACCUAUCUCUCAACCAGAUCAUCUGCAUAAUAAAGAGAAAACACACAAGCAGGUGCUGAAAACCAUAUUAGAAGGAAAAUUCAAUGGGCUUGAUCAAGGGCCCAUUAAAGAACAACUAAGCAAGGUGUUCUUCACUACAAAUCAUCGCUGGUUCCUGCAUGGACAGUUUCACAGACAUUCCAAGAAACUGAAUCCUCCCAAAGACAGGUGA